rnacentral:rRNA from 1 species
UACAGAGGUGGCAAGCGUUGUUCGGAAUUACUGGGCGUAAAGGGCGCGUAGGCGGCUCGACAAGUCCCGCGUGAAAGCCCCCGGCUCAACUGGGGAACUGCGUCUGAGACUGGUGGGCUUGAGUGCAGGAGAGGAACGCGGAAUUCCAGGUGUAGCGGUGAAAUGCGUAGAUAUCUGGAGGAACACCGGUGGCGAAGGCGGCGUUCUGGACUGCUACUGACACUGAGGAACGAAAGCCAGGGGAGCAAACGGG